UCCACCUAGAAUGUGUCUCACCUACAUAAAGCCUCCUGAAGUAUCAUAGCUACUACAAGGUUGUGUUUUCCUUCUGGAAAGAUUGCAGAUUGCUCAUUUUCUCCAGGGUUCAUGGAGGUGACAAGAUGGGAGAAUUAAAGGAACAGAGCUGUGAAGUUACCUGCUCAAAGUCAUAAAGGAGGCCAAUGAUAAAUCCAGGUGUAUAAGCCAA
rnacentral:lncRNA from 1 species